rnacentral:RNase_P_RNA from 1 species
AUGCUCAUGUAAUCGCUGCAUAUAAAUGCAGAGGAAAGUCCAUGCUCACACAGACUGAGAUGUCAGUAGUGUUCGUGCUUGAUGAAUUCAUAAGUCAAGGUAGCUUUUAUGCUAACGGCAGAAAACAUUCCUAAGUCAAAAAUGAUAUGGAAUUAUUCUUUAAAGUGCCACAGUGACGUAGCUGGAGUGGAAACACUCUGGGUGGAACGAGGUAAACCCCACGAGUGAGCAACCCAAAUAAUGGUAGGGGCAUCCUUUAGUAGGGAAUUCAACCGAAACAGGGACAAGUUUUAACUUGUAGAUAGAUGAUUACAACCGGAGUACGAGGUUGACCACCGUUUGCAGUACUAUGGUACAGAACAUGGCUUAUCGAG